UGUUGUGGUAAGGGCUUAGUCUAAAGGCUUAGGAUAUUUUUUAAUCUGAUGAUCAUUGUGAAAAUAAAUUGAGGAAAUAUAAGUAUAUGAAAGAAAACAAUAAAAUUACUUUGAAAUACUUAAGACAGAAUCAAGGAGAAGAUUGAAAACUAAAGUACUUAGUGUCUUUUUAAGUAGGUAAUGGUAUUAAUGUAUUUAGUUGUUUGUGGACUGGAGAUGGUUGAGUUUCUUUGUUAUAAAGUUCUGUGUGGUAGAGUUACAACCAAAUUAAUGAUGCUUUUAAAAUUUUAUCUUCAUGUUUUAUACUCCAGCUCAAUUGGUUUGAACUAUCCCUGCAUCAAAUAGUGACCUCGUAGCUAUUGUUGUCUCUGCUCCCAUUUGAUUGAAGUAAAAGAUUCUGACAGACUUGUUCUCCUUGUAUCUUCUCCAAGGGCUAUUUGAAGAAAUAUAAUGUUAAAUAUGUUUCAUAAUUGGAACCACGAAAAGGGCAUAGGUUAAAAUUAGAACUAGACUGACAUUGCACUGGAGUCUGAGUGAGAGUUUUAAAUGGCUUUGGUAAUGCAGACAAGAUUCAUAAUUUGUCUCCGCUCUUGUCCAGAAAGCAAUGAGUCACAGAAAAUCCUUGAAAACACCAAAUAAUUAAGUGGUACAUUGAUCCUGAAAUUCAGUCAGAUUCCUGCAAGCAAAUCUGAACAUGUAAAGGAUCAUGGCUGAAACUGCAGUUUGCCUGGGAACAUUCUCUGCUGUGAAGACACUCUGGGAAGUGAGAAUACACAAGAUAAAUGAAGAAUUACAGAAAGAAAAGGAAUUCAGGCAGAGGUCUGCAGGAAGGCUACUGCUUGUCUGGGAGGAGAGAGCUGCUUUAGCAAAGCUCAAAGAAAAAGUUAUUAAUGAAGGUGGAAGAGCAAUUUUAAGGAUAGAGGAAGAAGAAUGGAAGACAUUACCUUCAUGCUUAUUGAAACUAAUCCAUCUCCAGGAAUGGCAGCUUCACAGAACUAGUUUGCAGAAAAUUCCUCAGUUUAUUGGAAGAUUUCACAGCCUUGUUGUUCUGGAUCUAUCCCGGAACUCAAUUGAAAGUGUACCUAAAGAAAUUGGUCAGCUCACCAGCCUCCAAGAGCUGCUUCUCAGUUACAACAGAAUAAAAUCUGUUCCUAAGGAAAUAAGUAACUGCAUCAGUCUGGAAAGAUUGGAACUGGCUGUCAACAGAAGUAUCUCUGAUCUUCCUCCUCAGCUCAGUGAUUUAAAGAAGCUGUCACACAUAGAUUUGUGCAUGAAUCAGUUUACUGCCAUCCCUUCAGCUCUCCUCAACAUGCCAAAUCUAGAAUGGUUAGAUAUGGGGGGAAACAAACUCCAGGAGCUUCCUGAGGCAAUUGACAGAAUGGAAAAUCUCCACACUUUAUGGCUCCAAAGGAAUGAAAUAAACUCUUUGCCAGAAACCAUUGGUAAUAUGAAAAAUCUUAGUACUCUUGUUCUUAGCAACAACAAACUUAAGGAUAUUCCAGCUUGUAUGAAGGACAUGACAAAUCUGAGAUUUGUUAACUUCAGAGACAACCCACUGGAGCUAGAGGUAACACUCCCUCCAUGUGAGAACACAGAUGAGGAGGAGCAACAGGAAAUGUUUGGCAUUGACUUCAUGCACUUGUAUAUCCAGGAAUCACUCAAGAAAACAGGAAAUGUGGAAAGUUGUACUUCUGGUUCUCCUCCUGUCAUGAAUCCUAAUGAAUAAAGAAUGUAACUGUGAAUGGAAGAAAAUAUCAAAUACACUUCUUCACAGCAAAGAGGCUACAACAGUUGGCUCUGGUAUCAAAGGAGGAUUUGGGACAGCUGUCAACAGGACAUUCUCCAAGGACACAGCAGGCUCUGUAUAAUACUGCAGUGCAGCCUUGUAUCCUUGCUGCUGUAAAUACUCAAUCCGUCCGUGAUCAAUCAGCCGUUUGCAGAGGCAACCGAUCUCCUUCCGCUCCUCAACACUCAGUAUCCUGGUUCCAGAUAAAGGAAAGAAGCAAUGACAGCUGUCAGAAAAUAGUUUUGGUAAUUAACAUUAGUACUUAAGCUUAGAAAAACUACCAAAAUCAUUGUAAGUUCAUUUCAGUCAGGUUAAGCAUGGCUAUUGAAAUAUUUUGAAAUGUACGUCAUGAAAAUCAUAUUUUUAAAGUAAAAUAUCUCUAUAAGUUUAGUAAUUAAA